rnacentral:rRNA from 1 species
UACGUAGGGUGCGAGCGUUAAUCGGAUUUACUAGGCGUAAAGCGUGCGCAGGCGGCCCGUUAAGACAGGUGUGAAAUCCCUGGGCUCAACCUAGGAAUUGCGCUUGUGACUGGCGGGCUCGAGUACGGUAGAGGGGGGUGGAAUUCCUGGUGUAGCAGUGAAAUGCGUAGAGAUCAGGAGGAACACCGAUGGCGAAGGCGGCCCCCUGGACAAAGACUGACGCUCAGGCACGAAAGCGUGGGGAGCAAACAGG